GACGAACGCUGGCGGCGUGCUUAACACAUGCGAGUCGAACGGAAAGGCCCUGCUUUUGUGGGGUGCUCGAGUGGCGAACGGGUGAGUAACACGUGAGUAACCUGCCCUUGACUUUGGGAUAACUUCAGGAAACUGGGGCUAAUACCGGAUAGGAGCUCCUGCUGCAUGGUGGGGGUUGGAAAGUUUCGGCGGUUGGGGAUGGACUCGCGGCUUAUCAGCUUGUUGGUGGGGUAGUGGCUUACCAAGGCUUUGACGGGUAGCCGGCCUGAGAGGGUGACCGGCCACAUUGGGACUGAGAGACGGCCCAGACGCCUACGGGAGGCAGCAGUGGGGAAUAUUGCACAAUGGGCGGAAGCCUGAGGCAGCAACGCCGCGUGCGGGAUGACGGCCUUCUGGUUGUAAACCGCUUUCGCCUGUGACGAAGCGUGAGUGACGGUAAUGGGUAAAGAAGCACCGGCUAACUACGUG
rnacentral:rRNA from 1 species